UACGUAGGGUGCGAGCGUUGUCCGGAAUUAUUGGGCGUAAAGGGCUCGUAGGCGGUCUGUCACGUCAGGAGUGAAAACUCGGGGCUCAACCCCGAGCCUGCUUCUGAUACGGGCAGACUGGAGGUAUGCAGGGGAGAACGGAAUUCCUGGUGUAGCGGUGAAAUGCGCAGAUAUUAGGAAGAACACCAGUGGCGAAGGCGGCUCACUGGUCCGGUACUGACGCUGAGGUGCGAAAGCGUGGGGAGCAAACAGG
rnacentral:rRNA from 1 species